CAAUAUUUUUUCAAACCUCGUAGGUAUAUUUUUAUUUAGCUGAUAUUAUACUCAAGUAACUAUUGGUUUCGUACAGGCAGAGCCAUCUAUCGGCAGGAUUGUAUUGAUAACCCAGUUUGCUGUUAGCUAGAAUGACAAAAGAUGGCGUGUCGAUCGUCGUUAAUUUAUUUCCUUCCAAAAUCCCUUUUGAAUUUUCAUUUAUUAAAAAUAAAACUCAAUUUAUUAUUGUAUUGUUAGUUUUCGUUCCUUUUUGGAAAUAUUUUAUUACCCUCUUUAAGACAGAAGUUAAAGUUGUUGUCUAUAGGCGAAUGCAUCUCGUCACGUAUCUGUGGGCCGAGCUGUCAGCCGACACUUUGCAUAUUGGAAAGGAUGUAGACGGGUGGUUUUCAAAUUCUUCAGGGCCAAUGCGCCACAUUCUAAUUUUUAAAUCGCGAAUUAAUCGCAUAAUCAUGAUUUUAAUUUUAUAAAAUUACUGAGGACCCCUUCCAUUGACAUGAUUGCACGGAACCACAAGCCGGCUUCUUUUCUGGAAUGGGUCCUCAGAUUUGGAGGUUAACGUUCGAAGACAGAGCAGAGCUGAUGCUUCCCGAGCCUGGACCGGUGGACAGGAGGCUGUGGCGAUCGGUAUGGAAGAGCUCCCAUUCCGUGGCUGCAGCGGCCACCUCUCCUCAAUUCGGUUAGACGUCCCCCAAGGUCAGAGCGUUCCUCGUUUAUUUUUUAAAAAAGGCGCCCAACAUAAAUUAAUUUUUUAAUUAAUAAUUUACCUUUUACCCGGUCUUCCAGUACCAGAACUACUGACUCACCCCUAUGCUCUAAAUUUUAGGUAUUUGUUUUUUUUUUAAGUAAAUAGACUGAGCUAGCGAUAUAAUUUAUAAUAAGGGUAGUUUCAUUGCCUACCAGUUAGGCGUUACUAAGUAGUGUAUUAUUACUUUCGAAAUUAUUUUCAAAAAGUAAGUUAAUUAAAAAGUUAUUUUCUAUAUAAA